UGAUGAAUGCAGCAACGGCCAAGCUAGAUGUCAUCAAUUGUGUACAAAUACAGUAGGAAGCUACAACUGUUCUUGUAGACCUGGAUUUGAGCUGAAGUCAGAUGGCAUCUCAUGUCAAGAUGUAAAUGAGUGUGCAACUAACAACCACAACUGUAGCCAGGCCUGUAGUAACACAGAAGGGAGCUACUUCUGUUAUUGUAACCAAGGUUAUAACCUGGCUAAUGAUGGCGGGACCUGUAAUCUUAUUGUGACUACAACAGUGAGUGUGAGUACAAC